rnacentral:rRNA from 1 species
CUAUAACUUAGUGGCGGACGGGUGAGUAACGCGUGGGUAACCUGCCUUAUACAGGGGGAGUAACAGUCGGAAACGACUGCUAAUACCGCAUAAGCGCACAGUAUCGCAUGAUACAGUGUGAAAAGAUUUAUCGGUAUAAGAUGGACCCGCGUCUGAUUAGCUAGUUGGUGAGGUAACGGCCCACCAAGGCGACGAUCAGUAGCCGGCCUGAGAGGGUGAACGGCCACAUUGGGACUGAGACACGGCCCAAACUCCUACGGGAGGCAGCAGUGGGGAAUAUUGCACAAUGGGGGGAAACCCUGAUGCAAGCGACGCCGCGUGAGUGAAGAAGUAUUUCGGUAUGUAAAGCUCUAUCAGCAGGGAAGAAAAUGACGGUACCUGACUAAGAAGCCCCGGCUAACUACGUGCCAGCAGCGGC